GCCCGGGUGGUGGAAUUGGCAGACACACGAGACUUAAAAUCUUGUGCCGCAAGGCGUACGGGUUCGAGCCCCGUCUCGGGUACCA
rnacentral:tRNA from 1 species